UUUAACUUUUAACUAUCACCCUAUUAUUACAGAGGUAUUGAAACAUUGGUGAAUGAAGCCACUGACAGAACUGAGGAUACCUGUAUGAUCAGCGACCAUCUAUUGGACAUCCACACUGAGGAGGAAGCUGUGUGUACAGCAAUAAGUAUACAGACUGUACGUCAUCUGUACAUUACAGUUGUAGUACCAGUAGACCUGCACAUGACGUGUUAAACAUACAAUCACCACAUGCAUGUAUAUAAUUCAUAUAUUUGUUUCAUUUGAUAUCAUUGCUCUCUCAAUCAAUUCAACCACAUCUUUUAUUAUGAAUGUUAUUAGAUAUUUUCUUUACGUAGACAUGUAUAAACAUGCAAUACAAUUUCAAGCUGGUAAGAUUUAUUAGUAAAGUUGUGUUUUGUACAUUUCAGACAUGUCAGAAAGAAAUUGCUGUGCAGACGGAUCCCCCUCCACGGACAUACCACAAGUCCAUGUUGGCACGACCACGUGUCAGGUCAGCUGGACUGCAAGUUCCAAUUCGGGUUGGUUGUUCCAAAGAGUAUGUUACUGAACUCUUGACCGAGACUCAAUGCUUUGUGCCAAGACAAUGUUGAUGAGGAACCUUUCGAAGUCCCAGCUCCACUCAGCAGUCGGUGGAAGAACCAAACAAGAGGGAUGCUGUUGUGCUGUAUAAAGUGCUGGAUACUUGAACUUGACGUGUAGUUGUCAGAUGGAAACGUAGCACAGAUCUUUUGAAUGGCACAUGAUGGCAUUCUGUGGUUUUUACCAAGUAUUCUCACCAGCUGGCGGUAUGCCUCAUAGUGAUACAUUCUGUAACAUACAAGAUAAUACAAUGGUAAUCACUUCAACCUUAUUUGCUUAUUUAUUUAUUUAUUCUGUAACUUUGCCAGAGUGACCAUACGACUCUCCAUAAAUACAUCAACGUUUCUGAGCUCUACACAUUUGUGAACACAAGUAACUCAUUACGUGGCUGAUCACCUGCUUGUUGUCUGUCUCUCUUCGAAUACCUUUGGUAGGCUGUCUGCAACACCCAAACAUCCAGACACUUUGAUUUGAAUCCUGAGUGAUCUGUUAUGCAGGUUAUGUUUGCACCAUGUCCCUCAUAUUCAUUG
rnacentral:lncRNA from 1 species